rnacentral:rRNA from 1 species
UCAGUAUUAAAAAUUCCUACAGGGCAUUAAAGUAAUAAUAAACCUAAACCCAAAGAUCAUGGCGGUAACUUCAACCUUUAGGGGAACUUACCCAAUAAUUGAUAACCACCACGUAAUUCAACUUUGAGUAAUAUUUUGUAUGCCGUCGUCGGCAGAUAUAAUAUUAUAUUAUAUCUGAUAAGUAUACCCCAAAAGACAGAUCAAGGUGCAGACAAUCUUAAAGAUAGGGCGAGUUACAAUAGUAAUUUUCUUCAAAAGUGUUAAUAACUUUCACUGCAGUCGGACUUAAACGUAAACUAAAUUAAAAAUAUUAAUUGAAUAAUACUGAAGUUGUGC